rnacentral:rRNA from 1 species
AUUGAACGCUGGCGGCAUGCCUUACACAUGCAAGUCGAACGGCAGCACGGGGCAACCUGGUGGCGAGUGGCGAACGGGUGAGUAAUGCAUCGGAACGUGCCAUUGAGUGGGGGAUAACGUAGCGAAAGUUGCGCUAAUACCGCAUAUUCUGUGAGCAGGAAAGCAGGGGACCGCAAGGCCUUGCGCUCUUUGAGCGGCCGAUGUCAGAUUAGCUAGUUGGUGAGGUAACGGCUUACCAAGGCGACGAUCUGUAGCGGGUCUGAGAGGAUGAUCCGCCACACUGGGACUGAGACACGGCCCAGACUCCUACGGGAGGCAGCAGUGGGGAAUUUUGGACAAUGGGCGCAAGCCUGAUCCAGCCAUGCCGCGUGAGUGAAGAAGGCCU